UGGGGAAUAUUGCACAAUGGGCGCAAGCCUGAUGCAGCCAUGCCGCGUGUAUGAAGAAGGCCUUCGGGUUGUAAAGUACUUUCAGUCGGAAGGAAGGUGGUAAGGUUAAUAACCUUGGCAAUUGACGUUACCGACAGAAGAAGCACCGGCUAACUCCGUGCCAGCAGCCGCGGUAAUACGGAGGGUGCAAGCGUUAAUCGGAAUUACUGGGCGUAAAGCGCACGCAGGCGGUUGAUUGAGUCAGAUGUGAAAUCCCCGGGCUUAACCCGGGAAUUGCAUCUGAUACUGGUCAGCUAGAGUCUUGUAGAGGGGGGUAGAAUUCCAUGUGUAGCGGUGAAAUGCGUAGAGAUGUGGAGGAAUACCGGUGGCGAAGGCGGCCCCCUGGACAAAGACUGACGCUCAGGUGCGAAAGCGUGGGGAGCAAACAGG
rnacentral:rRNA from 1 species